AAUAUAGAUUAAUAUUUUUACUCAUUAUUUAAAUAUAAUAGACUAUCCUAUGUCAUUAUUUUGUAAAAUGCUACUUUUAGAGUGAGUUUAGUCCUUCAAAGUCUGUAGAAGUAUAACUUAAAUGUGUAGAAGCAAAGCCCACUUGCUUUUGAACUGUGAAGAUUAGCAUCUUAUUAGCAUUUGAUUUACAAAUCAGUUCACCUCCUAGUGUAUCUCUGUAGACAAGAUCCUUGAUUGAUAGAUGGAGUGCUUUUUUAAGAUUCAGUUUUCAGGGUUGGGAUAAGUUCUCCAAAGGAAGCUGUGCAAACAUAAAAGCUUCUUGGAAUUGGUCUAGAUCCACACCAGUGAUGGACUAAAGAGGUUCAUCUCACUCAAGGAGAGAGGCCAAGGUCAUGGACAGAAGGACAGGGCCACAGGAGAGCGAAGAGUGGCUGGUGAGGUGGCAAAGGAAAGAAUAAUGAAAACGUCAGGCUUCAUGAGGAAACCAGCCAGUCAAAUGGAAGGUGCAAAGUAUUUCAGACCAAGAUUCUUCAGCCAAAAUCCAAUUAGUAAUCAAGGUGGAACAAUUGCUGAGGGAAUUGACAACUCUAAGAAAUGGUCUUGGCCCACAGUCCAUACAAAUAUUUCAAUUUCAAAGAAUAUUAUGUUCAAUUUUAAAAUGGCCUUUUGGAAAAAAAACCAGGAAAAUCUUAUUAACUUUGGCAGUAUUCCUUCAAUACAAAUAAUAGAAUUUCUUUGAAGAAAAUAAAAACCUAGGUCUAUUGCUUAAAAAAAAAUCAAAAACAAAACUAAACAAAAAAACCUUGAGCUGGUUUAUGUGUUGACAAUGGCCUUUGGCACAAAGCAUUCACUAGCUUUUUAAAGUCCUCUACUAACUACAGGAAAUAUCUUCAUGAGAUCUGGUCUACUACACAAGCACAAUGUUCCUUCUUGAGUGGAAUUCCCAUUUAUUUUAAGAAGGAGUAAUUUCAUUUAUAGGAAAGGAUAGAGAAGUUUGUCAAAAUUUUCAGGUAUAUAAGCAUCAGUUACUAGACUGCAAAUUUUUGAAAUGUUGCAUCCCAUGUUAAUGAAUUCCAAAGAAAAACAGCUGACUUUAUGCAUUUAUUUUAAUAAGGCUGUGAAAACAGUCCAUUUACAGUGUAAAAACCCCUUGUCUUUUAAAAAUGCUAGACAGAAUAUUUUAAUAAAUUAAAUUUGUCUGCCUGUCAAAUCUGUCAAAUUGACAAGAGCCCUCAAGGAGUAUUGCUGAUGUUGUAGUUCUAUUUUUCCAAUAGGAUUACAUUCAGAAUUUAAUAUGGGCUGCUUAGAUGAAGAAUCCUUCCAUCAGAGUAAUUUUAAGUAACAACACUAACAUAAUAUUUUAAGCUUCCAACCUCAUAGGGCCAGGGUGAUUUUGCUUCCUCUGAAAAAUCUUUUAUUAUCCACAAGAGUGUCUUGAAUAUUAUGCUGUUUACAAUGAUGAAAUAAUUUAAGAAGACAAAUAAGUUUUCACCAUCAGAAGUUUCACCAUUGACAUUUGAUCAGAGGUAUGUAGUUUAUGUAGUCAGCUGUCAUUGGGACAGCCGACCUUGGGACAGCCAGAUCUUAGGAACCCAGUGAACAGAUGAGACCAUGGAGUCUUGGUGGGCACAAACCCCCAGCUCAAGAUCACAUGACUUGCAAUUAGCAAAACCAACCCUUUAAUUCAGGUGUUCUGAUACUAAAUCGUUAAAUUUCUAGUUACAUUUCUCUGUCUUCCUGAAAUAAUCAAAUGUUUCUUUUUUUCUCGUAGAUAAAACCCACUUAAUGUCUCCAGUGAGAAAAUUCAUGCCAAUUUUCUAGUAGCAGUUGGUUAAUGAAGUUUGUUACUUCUUCAAAAUAAUGUACCUAAAAGAAAAAAAGGUAAUAAGAGUGUCAAACAAACCCAAACUCUGAAAUAACUGUAAAACAUGAAAUCAUCUAGACUUGAUUUUUAGCCUCCUGGAAUGAAAUUCUCAAAUAUGUGUCUAAAAUUUGAAAAUGGAAUCAAGCGUCAACCUUGAGAUUCUUUGUUUUUCAUUCUGAACUUCAGAAACAGAGAUAAUAUUCUUGGUUAAUAUUUCAGGGAAUCUGUGUCUUUCACUAGGUUUCCAAUGUAGUUCUCAGAGGACUUUUGCAUUUAUUGUUUAAUAAAUAUUAUGUUGCUUACACAUAUGCUGUUUUAACAUUGGCUAUUUAAGCAUACAUAAAUAUAUUAAAUAUAUAAAAGAAUCUCAAGAUUGGUAUUAACACCCAGUGGAGUUUGACUCAGCUAUUAAGAAGAAUGAAAUUACAGCAUUUGCAUAUAAAUGGAUGGAGCUGGAGAACAUCAUGGUAAGUGAAAUAAGCCAGACUCAGAAAGUCAAAGAUAGAAUGUUUCUUCUCAUAUGCAGAAUCUAGACCAAAAUAAGGAACAAGAGAAGGCAGGUGAGGGACUUCAUGAAAAUAGAAAAUCCACCAGUGGAGCCUAUAGAGAAAAGAGAUUGAGUGAGAGGGAGAAGCCAUAGGAAAUGGGAAGAAUGGCGGAAUGAAUGGACCAAACUAUCUUAUGUACAUGUAUUAAUAUACAACAGCGAAUUUCACCUUUAUGUUUAUCUAUAAAGCACUAAUUUAAAAAACUAUAAAUAAAUAGAAGGAAGACUAUCAGAGUAGUGGAGCAGGAAUAGGGGAAGACGGAGAAGGAGGGGGUAAAAAAGAAGGUACUAAGGACUGAAUUGGGGCAAAGAAUAUUCCAUGUUUGUAUAAUUAUGUCAAAAUGAACCCCAAUAUUAUGUACAACUAAAAUGCUCUAAUAAAAACAUUAUGUUGCUCUCUUGUGGUAGGGAAAUGCCUUUCAAAAAUAAAUAGAACAAGAAAAAAAAUCAAUGCUUAACAUGUUUACUAAUUUCUUAUAAGUCAAAACUUCUGUUUAAAAAAAAUAUGUAUGUGAUUUCAAUUAAAUUUCUCUGGCAACAGUGUGAAGUAGUUUUACAAAACAAAGCUGUGUUUAGUGCCCAGACAGGACUAACAGCAGGGUAAUGACAUGAGUCAGGCCUGGCCCAGUGCUGGCUGGAAGAUCUAUUUCUAGGCAUAAAGAGGCCUUUCAACUUUGCUAAGAGAGCAGUCCUGUGAGAUGCUGCCGUGAAUCAAUGUUUAUCCACGGCCUGUUUCAUGAAAGAAUAUCUUGUGACUCAACAUGUGGCAUUUUGCUUUCUGAAUGAGAUUAGUUAUUCCUCAUGAACCAUGAACUGACUAGGGAUCAAAAUAAACCCAAAUAAAUUGAAUCCAGUAAAUAAAUCGUCUAGUGGAAGAAAGAUACAAUGGAAAGAACAUUGGAUUUUGAAAACAGAAUGACUAUUAAGCUCACUCGCUGCUUUCUGGCCAUGUGAUUUGGACAGGUCUCUGUUGUGCACUCCAUUCCUUCACCCUUGGACAGGAACUCACAGCCCCUCACUCACAGGGUCAGGAUGAAUUUGAAUUAAAUGUCUACAAAACAUGAAGCAGACAUGAACUGAACUAAAUUAAAAUACUAAGUAAAUUUUCUUUUACCAUUGAGAUUACGGGCUUCCUAAUUCUUGAACAUGCUUCUUCUCUACUUAGUAAAUUUUCGGAGAGCAUGGGUCUUGCAUUACUCAUUUUUCAUCCUCCUUAGCAGAACCUAUAAUUCUAAAACUUCUUGAUAAAAGCUAAAGGCAAGUAAACUCUGAUAUUAACAGGUCCUCUGAGGUUGAUGAAAACAAGAUAUUUCUUUAAAUGAAUUACUUGACAUGGACUGAAUAUUCGUGUCCUCCCCCUCGGGUCCAUAAGUUGAAAUCCUAACCUCCAAUGUGAUGGUUUUAUAAACUGGGGACUUUGGAAGCUAUUAGAUCAUGGGGAAGAGCCAACAUGAAUGGGAUUGGUGGCCUUAUAGGCGACUCCAUGAGAAGAUAGCGACCUACCCCCUGGAGAGGGCCCCCAUGACAAGGUGACAUGAAUUUCUCACGUGAAUAGGCCUUUCAGCUGAUGGUACCUUCUUGUAAUGAUCCAAAUGGACGAGAACACUAGAGUGCUACAGAUGAGGAAGUGUAAGGAGCCCCUCCUAAUGCUCUACUCAGUUAUUGCCUGUAAGUUGCCAUGAACCCUAAAACCAGUGCCCAGGGCUGAGCUCCCAUGGUCAGGGGGUUCUACAGACAUUGUCCCCCUUCCUCCAGAGAGAACCACUUACUUCACUCUUCUCUGUGCUCACUGCUUCUGGGGCCCUGCCUGAUGAUUGCAGUUAACUUUGCCCUUGGAGCCACAUUGCACAGUUUAUCACGGGCGCACAGUGGAGGGGAGUCUUCCAUGAUUGACUGAUGAAAGGGAUGCUUUUACUUGUGUGUUUACUCAGACUCUGAAAACUAAGAGGAAACAUAAACAAAUUGUAUGCUUCAAUGGGCAAAGGCAUCAGCUCCUCACAGAUUCAGUCUCCCCUUUUGAAUCCCUACCUAUUUCAUAAGUACAGCAGUUUUCAACUGCUUUAAAUUAUUGGGGAACCCAAAUAGCUUUUGUUUAUGUAAGUUAUAUCUGUCAGUAUUUGCCAUGAUAACAUUAAUACUGAUACAUUUUAAAAUAUUUAUUUAUUAAUGUAUUUAAAAGUACUAAUUAUAAACCCACUACAUAUUGUAUAAAUGAUUCUUUUUUAAUAUAAAUGACUGUUUUCCAAAAGGAAAAGUCAUAAAAGUGACACUGUUGUACAUUUUUUUUUGCACAACCCUUUAAUUUCUUCCUUAAUAAAAGAUAAAUGGAGUCUGUGUCUAUUUUGACACUUAACUUGUUCACCUAGAAUACAUCAUGUGACUUUUACAAACAUCCUUUAAAUACUUGUGCAAAAAUUAGAGUAGAAAAGUCAAAUCUUAGAAUCCUGAAAAUAGCUUUGACCUCAUGCACAUGCAAAGGAACUCAGGGACCCCAAGCUUCUAGGAGGAUACUUGGAGACACAGUGCAACAGAAUCUUGCCUGAACUUCCAACUAGCUGCUUCCAGUUCUCACACUGAGGAUAGUCACCUGCCAAGUCAGAGAAAUACACAUGUAACAGGAAUUAAAUAAUAUAAUCAAGUAAUAAUAUUUUUUAAUACCCCAUUUAUUCAUGAAAGUGGUUCCUUCCCUGUGGCCGAAUGAAAUCAGACAGGUUCAUUAACUUUUUCUCUUCUCUUUUAGGUAACACAAAGUGCUACGGUGCUUUUAAGUUGUGAAACACAGUCUCGGUUCGUGCUUGGAAACAAUAGACACUUACAGUGCCAAUUUCCAGCUUAAUCUACAGACGCUUGCUUCUCUCCCAAAUGGGAGCAGUUAUCUACACUUUCCCCAUCUUCAUUUUUUGCUCCAGGUUGACUAAAGCUUCCAACUAGUGCAUAUGAGUGGGGGUUGCAGGGGUGGCAGAUGUGGAGAGGAUGGUGGAGGAAGGCUGGCAAAGCAGUUGGGAAGUGUAUGACUUCAAUAGCACCUUCAUAAAAAGGCUCUGUGCUUCCUGUGCUGGGCAGAUUUUUACAACACUCCUCCUUCAAGGCCUAAAGUUCCUUUUAAAAGAGGUCCUAAGGAACAGGUGCACCUCUCCCACCACGUGGGGACAUAGUGAGAAACCUCCAUCUGGAAUCAGGUGGUCACCAGACACUAAAUCUGCAGGCACCUUGAUCUUGGACUUCUCAGUUUCCAAAAACCAUGAGAAAUAAAUUGCAUUGUUUAUAAGCUAUCUAAUUUAUGGUAUGUUUUAAAUAGCAGCACAAAUAGACAAAGAUAUUGUUUUAACAGUGGUCUAAACAAGUUCUCUGCCAUCCCAUUAUGGAUUUGUCUGGUUCUCAUUGGAGUCCCCAUUUCUUUUUUAUCUCAGUGACAUAGUCAAAGCCUCCACAGUAACAUCCUCUCAUUUAAAGAAACCACCAUCCACUGCCUGCUACCCGGUUCAGGAGCUCAGAGGGCCUUGUAAUUUGUCCUGUCUCCUUAAGCUUAGAAACUAAGUACCGACAGCUCAUGAUUAGUUAUCUUUCUUAGGUUAUUUGCAUUUAAACUGGGAGCAAUAAUUUCUUUUCCUGGUAGAAUUUGUCUUACAUUUUUGAAAGUAAUAGCUAUUCAUUAAAUUACAUUUGAAAAUGCAGGAAGAAAGGAAAAAUUGGCUACAGUCCUAUCACACAUAUAAAACCACUAUUCACAUAUGUGUAUUUUUCUAUAAUAAUAUUUCAAAGCAUGCUUCAAUUUCAAUUGAAUGCAUAUAAGUACAAUUUCGUACCCUACAUUUUACUUUUUAAUAUGCUAUAAGCAUCGCCAAUGUCAAUACAAACUCCAUGUAAACAUGAAUUUAAUGCUAGCAAAGUAUUAUGUUAAUAGAUAUGCCCUGGUUUCUUUAAUCACCAUCUUUAUUAUUAAAUACUUGCAUUGUUUACACUUUUUAAUAUUAAAAACCAUGCUGCAAAGGGUAUCUUUGAAUAAACAUUUUUUCCUUAUUUUGAGUUAUUUACGUAAAAUAUGCUUCUGAGUGUGAAGUUAUUGGGUAAAUGGAUAUAAAAUAUUUUUGAUUCAUAUCCCACAUAACUAAUUUUGCAACAGGCUAUGUGUCUGUGUUUUUGGCAUAUCAUCAUCAUUGAUCUCUGCAACCCCCUGAUCUUUAUUGAUUGAUUGAUUUCUUUGAUUUCCUGUCUUCAUUCCCAUUACCCUCACCCUCAUUACAAAACAGCAGUCUAAUGUGCUUGAUACGUAUCCCUUUAUAAGCGUGUGGUCACAUAAGUAUGCAUUUUUAUUUUGUGUUCACAAAUUUUAAAUGUGCACAAAUUAUAUUGUUCUAUGGACUGCAUGUGGUUUCUUACUUUUUUUUGUCACCCAUCACUGAAUUUUUAAGACCUACCAAUAUCAUUCUGUGUAGACCUACCACCAAGUGCUGCACGCCUUUCCAUGUAAGUCCUAACUAACCGACAAUGUCCUAACCCUAACUCAGGGGCUUCCCUAGGGGCUUCUAACUCUGCACUAGGACAAAUGCUGGAAUAAACUUCCUGUCUGUGCCUCCUCCAAGACCUGUGUCCUCUAAAAGUCCAUGUUGGAAACUUAAUUCCUCAAUGGGGCCAUGGAGCCGGUGCUUGGGUCAUGAGGUGGAUACUCAUGACUGGGUUUGUGCCUUUCUCGAGGCAGUGAGUUCUUGCUCUUGAGAACUGCAUCAGAUACCGUGGGUUGCAAAGUGAGGUCACCCCAUGUGUCUAUGAUGUUAUACAUAAGGGUGGCAGUUACCUUUCGGAUAGAUACUGCUUUAUUUCAGUGACCUUAUUGAACGGGAGGGACAGUAGGAGGGCCUCUCAGGCACUGAUGACAUUCUAUUCCAUGUAUAUUGAAUAAUUGACAAUAUAAAUGAAACGCUAGAUGAAAUGCAGUGUGAGUUAAACUGAACAAGUCUUCUUGAGCUGGAGAUGUGGGCGGUGGCUCAGGGUAACGCACUUGUCUGACAUGCCUGAGGCCCUGAGUUUGGUCCUAGCACAGGGCGGGGGGUGGGGGGGGGCUGGCUUUUCCUUGUGUUAGUAGACAUGAGGAACUGUUUCUUCUGCACCAUUUUGUCUUGCUUUUGCCCUGGUUCUGCCCCUGAUGAACUAUGAAAUUUUCUUGGCAAGUCACUUCCCACUUUGAAUUUUCUGUUUCUAAUUACUCAGAAAUGGAAGCUGAAUUAAAUAAUCUUUAAAUAUUCUCCACAUCCUGUAACUCUAUAUUAUAAAACCAAAAAUCACUUGGAUUUUUCUUUCUUUUUGGUCCACUUUUGUUGAAUGUUAGGAAUUUCUUGUUUCUUUUGUUGCUCUUUAUACUCAUGCAGCAACUCUCCAAUUAUCUUGGCUUUUCUGCCAGCUUUCCCUAAGAUCCUGUUAACACAAACUGCCUGUGCCAAUCAAUAGUCAUUUUUCUCAUUCUAAAUUAGGCUCUUUUUCUGGUUUACACUUCAGCUUUUCAAGAGCAUUGUAGUUUAUUUAGAGUGCUAUAACAAAAUGCCACAAACUGGGUAGAUAAUAAAGAGCAAAAAUUUAUUCCUUACAGUUCAGAGGCUGGCGAUUCUAAGACCCAAGCAGAUUUGAGGUCUGGUGAAGGUCCAGACCUUCAGAAAGUUUGUUUGGCUUAAAUCGAUACCAGCUUAAAUCCUACAAAAAAGAAAAAAAAAACUGAGAAAUAGUUCCUACUGACUCCAUCAAAUGCCCAGCUCUCAGAAAACCACAUUCUGGACCAUAAGGACAUUCAAUGAGAAUUUCAAAUCUUCCACAAAUGGUUCCUGACUUCAAAUGGUACUGAAGUCUCUAACCCUUCUCACCCACGCACCACUAACCAUUCUCUCUUCCUAUAGUAAGAGCAACUCUAAUGUUGACCCGUCUACACAGCUUCCAAGAAUAAACACAUGUGUCUAUUUGUCCUCUUCACCCAGCUGUGCUCACGUGAUGAGGUCCUAACAAUAAGAGGAACUGGGCACCACGACUAGUGUGCAUCUGUGACAGUGAUAUUGAAGUAGGCAACUGCAUCACCCUAUUUCCUAAGCCUACAGAUGUGGUGUUGAAUCCUUCUGACCCGAAGAGCAAAUACUGGAUCAAAGUGCACCCUUUUCUCCUCUUUGAAACUUGGCUCCGUACCUUGCAGGAGGUCCAAGAGAAAGAGAUCAUCAGGCCUGCUACUCAAAUUGACGUUGCACAUCUGCAGUUGAGCCAAUUUACCACAGUCUGGACUUGCUGGAGGACUAUUUUCAGAAAAGUGACAGAAAAUGCUUGGGAGAGAGAACAAUUAAAAAUGUAAGGGUUAAUCUUCUCAAAUCCUUAAUACCAUGCAUUAAGGAAAUAAAGAGCCUGGUUCUUGGAAUGGA